GACAUCAAGAAUGGAUUCGCUAAAAAAAAACAAAAAAACUCAUGCCUGAAGAUUGUUCAUUUUUCAAAAGCUGUUCAUUUUUUCUAUAGGCGUAGUGAUUUUAACCUUUAAAAACCAUCUGGAGCUCCAACAUUGUUAAUUGAUAGUACAUGCUUAUAAUGAAUUUCCAGUUGAUUUUAUGAAAACCAUGUUUAGUGCCAAAAUUCGUUGUGAAGAACUACACUACCCAUGAUCCUGCAGAGAAAUGUCCAUCCAAUUAGAGAAAUGCGGCAAACAAAUUUCCAAUGAAACACUGCAAUUGCCAUUUUCGAGUCAGUCUCCCUUCAUUCAACAACUGCUUAUAAAUUUCUAUACAUCUGAUUAUUUUGCAAUAAACUUAAAAUCUAUUGCUUCUAUAUUUAUAAUAAACAACUUUCAAUCAAAAGUUUUAUAUUUUUCUAUUGUUUUUACGUAAUUCACAACAUUUCAUAGGACUGUGGUUCAUUCACUCAUUAAAAAGAUGCUAAUUGCCUUUGUUUUGUUUGGAUCUUAGAACACAUGAUAAAUCUAUUAAAAUAAAUACAUUGAGGUGUGGAGGGUUAGAAAAACUGUUAUAAAUAAGUGUUAACAUGUAUUCCUUUCAAUACUGAAAAGUAAUGUCAUUUUAACAAAUAUUUAUGUGUGUUAUGUAUUUUAUGUGUUAGCUUAGCAACAUGCUAAUGUCAGAUUGUAUUGAAAUGUGGAGUGGAGUCUUCUGUGAAAAAUGUGAUGUUGCUGCCAAUGUAGAGUGUUUCGAUUUGGACAGUUAUGAGGUUCUAUGAUGGUUAAGAUUUCUUUGUAGAGAGUCAGCAGUGAAGCUGCUCAGUGGUUUUUUGAAAGAGAACUAUAUUAAAGGAUUCACUGUUAUAGUAUGCGUUAUAGUAUGAUGUGUAAACUUGACAGGGGAAGAAAUCAAUCCAUCUGCCUGUCAUAUUCUUCCAUCUCUUCUCAUCCACAGUCUCACAACUCAUAUAUUUUCACCCUUUCUAUCAAGCUAUGUGUUGUGUUACGCUGCCUCACCAUCCUCCUCAAAACACACAGUUACUGCUACAUUUUACAAAGCCAUUUUGUCUGAUUUAUGUAAUUCAUAUUUAUGCAGUUUGUAAAUGCUACUGAGUAUGUUUUUAGGCAUCUGUUUGAGAAGCAGCCAUAAAAUGUGCGUGUUGGUGAACAUUUCCCUGGUGUCUCUUUGUGAAUGUCUAAAUACUCCUCCAAAACAGAAUUAGGAGGCAGAGGUCAAGAGAGAUACUCUUAUCCCAGAGCUACGCACUAUCUUUCUCCCUCUCUUUUUCACACAGACAAGGAGCUCACUCAUACAAAGGGAGUUUGAGAAGCUAUUCUCCCAGCAAUAUUGAACUCCACUGACUUUCACUGAAUGGACAAAAAUAUCUUCUUCUGUGUUCCACAGAA